rnacentral:rRNA from 1 species
ACUCAAAUGAAUUGACGGGGACUUGCACAAGCGGUGGAUUAUGCGGUUCAAUUCGAUGACAAACGAAAAACCUUACCAAGGCUAGAAAUCUAUCUGAAGCCACGCAGAAACGUGUGGCGUCUCACAAGGACAGAUAGACAGGUGAUGCAUGGCCGUCGUCAGUUCGUGAUUUGAAUUGUUCCCUUAAGUGGGGUAACGAACGCAACCCUCUUUGUCUGUUACAAGUAUCAGGCGAGACCACCCAGCACUUUGCUCACAAAUUAUUGUGGUUAAAGUGCUGGGAGGAAGCGAGGAUGACGCCAGGUCAGCAUGUCCCUUUGACGCCUUGGGCUACACGCAUAAUACAAUGGUCACUACAACAGGUCGCGACGCCGUAAGGCUGAGCCAAUCCUUAGAAAAGUGGCCCCAGUUCGGAUUGGGGGCUGAAACUCGACCCCAUGAAGUUGGAAUCGCUAGUAAUCGCGGGUCAGCUAUACCGCGGUGAAUACGUUCUCAAGUCUUGUACACACCGCCCGU